ACGUACACUCCUACGGGAGGCAGCAGUGGGGAAUAUUGCACAAUGGGCGCAAGCCUGAUGCAGCCAUGCCGCGUGUAUGAAGAAGGCCUUCGGGUUGUAAAGUACUUUCAGCGGGGAGGAAGGCGAUAAGGUUAAUAACCUUGUUGAUUGACGUUACCCGCAGAAGAAGCACCGGCUAACUCCGUGCCAGCAGCCGCGGUAAUACGGAGGGUGCAAGCGUUAAUCGGAAUUACUGGGCGUAAAGCGCACGCAGGCGGUCUGUCAAGUCGGAUGUGAAAUCCCCGGGCUCAACCUGGGAACUGCAUUCGAAACUGGCAGUCUAGAGUCUUGUAGAGGGGGGUAGAAUUCCAGGUGUAGCUGUGAAAUGCGUAGAGGUCUGGAGGAAUACCGGUUGCGAAGGCGGCCCCCUGGACAAAGACUGACGCUCAGGUGCGAAAGCGUGGGGAGCAAACGGGAUUAGAAACCCCUGUAGUCCCA
rnacentral:rRNA from 1 species